rnacentral:rRNA from 1 species
UACGAAGGGGGCUAGCGUUGUUCGGAAUUACUGGGCGUAAAGCGCGCGCAGGCGGUCUUCCAAGUCAGUGGUGAAAGCCCGGAGCUCAACUCCGGAACUGCCAUUGAAACUGUAAGACUUGAGGAUGAGAGAGGUGAGUGGAAUUCCCAGUGUAGAGGUGAAAUGCUUAGAUAUUACAUGGAAUACCAAUUGCGAAGGCAGGUUACUACAAGUGGAUUGACGCUGAUGGACGAAAGCGUGGGGAGCGAACAGG